rnacentral:lncRNA from 1 species
AUUAUUGUGAAUAUUUGAUUUCGUGGUUUUGUCAAUCAUUUCUUACAAAGCCUAUAGAAAAUAUUGUACGUUUGAAUUCCUGGUUGACCUAUACUCACAAAAUCUACUAAUAAUUUAACAGUGGCACAUUCGUCAGUCGACUCCUAAAAGAAGUCAUUGUCCUGAGGGUCAAGUUACAGUAAAAUUUGCUAUGUCACAGAUUUUGGUAUUUUUUUUGCAUAUAGUUUUGGCAC